ncrna:unclassified sequences malK-I RNA
UCCGGUGGAGUAUGCCUACUCCACAGAAAUAGGCAUACGACGCUAAAAUAAAGGAGGAAAACCCCGUCCGGCUCACGGUGCGGCAGUGUGGAGACCUGUCGUAAAGCUUCUGCUGUUUAACCCGGCAGAAUGCGAGUGCGCGUAUUGAGGAUUCAGCGCGCACGGAGUCAAAAAACAUGGCA